AUGCCGCGUGAGUGAAGAAGGGUUUCGGCUCGUAAAACUCUGUUGUUAAAGAAGAACACCUUUGAGAGUAACUGUUCAAGGGUUGACGGUAUUUAACCAGAAAGCCACGGCUAACUACGUGCCAGCAGCCGCGGUAAUACGUAGGUGGCAAGCGUUGUCCGGAUUUAUUGGGCGUAAAGCGAGCGCAGGCGGUUUUUUAAGUCUGAUGUGAAAGCCUUCGGCUUAACCGGAGAAGUGCAUCGGAAACUGGGAGACUUGAGUGCAGAAGAGGACAGUGGAACUCCAUGUGUAGCGGUGGAAUGCGUAGAUAUAUGGAAGAACACCAGUGGCGAAGGCGGCUGUCUAGUCUGUAACUGACGCUGAGGCUCGAAAGCAUGGGUAGCGAACAGG
rnacentral:rRNA from 1 species